AGAUGCUAUUGUUGAGAAAUGUAGAGAUAAAGAAGAUAAUAAAGAACGACUUUAAACGUGGAUCGGAUUGUCAAUUCAAGCCGACAGAUGGUGUUUUUCAUCCCUAUCAUCUGCCGGAAGGGGAGCCUGCAGCAGCUGUAAGAGAAAUGGAGGGGAAAAUUUCCGCUUCACUAAAAAAACUAAAUUGAACUACUCGUAGAUGUUACAGUUAUUACAGUUACAAAACCUCUGCUAGUUGCACGCUCUCUUAGCAGACGUCAAUUAGAGCAUCCCAUUAUCUGAACACGCCAUUGCUUGAUGAGAAAUUUCACGGAAAUUUAUGUGAAAUUAGAAAUGAAGUGGUCAAAGAGGAAACCAAGUUAAGCAAAAUCUCCAUAGCAUUACUAUGCAGUAACGUUGAGUUGAAAAUUCGUGAAACACUUUCAGUUGCCAUUUUCAAGUGGAGGCAUUUCAUCAGAACGGAAUGUUGCAAUAGCCCAACUUCUAAUCAACCGGUAUUUCUAGGAAGAAAAUCUAAGCUCUUGGAAAUGAAAAUAAAAUUCUAGUUACUCGUGUCCGUCCGUAAAGUUAUUCUCUGACGUCCCAAUACUUUAUGGCAAAAUUCAAGAAUUUAAUAUUAAAAGUUUCACCAUUUUGCUCCAACUAACUGAUUAUCCGAUUCUAGCGUCCGACGCACGUAUUAAUUAAUUGAACAGAAAAGGGCCACCCAUGUUGGUCAAUAUAAGUACAUCAAAUUAACAAGUAUAGAUAAGGUAAUGGUGGUUUUGUGUUCACUAGAAAACCCGAUGCUAUAGAAACUGACAGACCAGUUAGGAUACAACGUAAUUCCGCUUAAUCAUUAUCAGAUUUUCAGGAGACAAAACUAUAGGGGGUAAUGAUUACCACAAUUCUAACCAGAGGAACCAUACGAAACAGAAAAGAAUUGUCAAUUGUCCUACCUCUUACGUAAGGCAGGCUCUCGUUGUUGUGCAGCGACGUGGGAGGUCGAUUGUCAUGUAAAAUAACCCACUUCUUGUUCACACACACACACAGAAAAAGGCGAGAGAUUUGAAUUUCCACUUUUCUUUUGAUAUCACUGAAGUGAACACAUCGUCAAACAGAUGCUAUAUAGUUUUAUCUCUGUGAUCGGUGGCACGUCUAUUGGCCGAUACGAAAUUCACGACACGCAGAUGAGUUGACAGCAUGCAAAUAUCAUCACAGAGUAGCAGGGCAAUAUCGGUACGCACAACUCGUCAUAUAGCCUUCAGCUGUAUAGGUCUAUAGAAACAGUCUAGAUAAAUAGUUUCCGCACUGUAUGCAAAUCAAGUCUUCUUGAACAAGUAUAACCAAGUUCUAUAUAUAUACAACAGCCUUGUGUCAACAUGAAAGUGCGCGCGACGUUGCAUCCUGCCAGGACACGUUGCGUACGAAAACUGAAAAAUGCACAAUGCAUCUCUCCUGUUGAAUUGUUGAUUCGCAUGUUUAAGCUUAUUUAUUUUUACUGACCUGUUGCAUUCAUUUCAGUUAAUCAAAAAUUGGCUGUUUUUUUUUAAAAGAAAAGUUGCCAUUAGCUUAAAUGUAUUCAUGUCAUUUUCAAUUACGAAUGUAACGCGUUUGGACUUGAAAAUGGGGGUUGUCACACACAUCGAUUUUUUUUUUUACGUUCUUGCUGACUGCUGUGAAGGAAAUCUUAUGUUUGAUUUAAAAUACUAUUCUAUCCUUAUCCAGAAAUAGUGAAUACUAUUUCGCCGAACGCAGGAUCGAGCGGCAAUUUGUGUGGCGGGAGUUGAGAGCGUACAGCAAUAAAAGGAGAACUCCAUAAAAUAGUGUUUUUGACAGUUUGCAUUAGAGCAGCGUCCUGGCCAUUCAUGAUGACCGGAUCAUCAUUUACCCAUAUGAAUAUAUCCAUAAACGGAGUAAAAUAUAGAAAAGGCUUCUCAAUUUCAGCGGUUGGCAUAACGCAAAUUCGACUACAUUACGGAAUUUGUAAAAUGUUUUUCUCGAUACUUCCCGUCGUAUAUAAUCAUUUUAUAUAUCAUCGUUUUCCGUCUAUUUUUAUGCACGAGCUAUUACAAAUCUAUGUAAAUGAGAUGUAAAAUAUCUUAGCAAUUUUCAAUAAAAAUGGCAGGCUUUUAAUUUA
rnacentral:lncRNA from 1 species